GACGAACGCUGGCGGCGUGCUUAACACAUGCAAGUCGAACGCUGAAGCUCAGCUUGCUGGGUGGAUGAGUGGCGAACGGGUGAGUAACACGUGAGUAACCUGCCCUCUUCUUUGGGAUAACGCCCGGAAACGGGUGCUAAUACUGGAUAUUCACUGAUUCUCGCAUGGGGGUUGGUGGAAAGGUUUUUUCUGGUGGGGGAUGGGCUCGCGGCCUAUCAGCUUGUUGGUGGGGUGAUGGCCUACCAAGGCUUUGACGGGUAGCCGGCCUGAGAGGGUGACCGGUCACAUUGGGACUGAGAUACGGCCCAGACUCCUACGGGAGGCAGCAGUGGGGAAGAUUGCACAAUGGGCGAAAGCCUGAUGCAGCGACGCCGCGUGAGGGAUGGAGGCCUUCGGGUUGUAAACCUCUUUCGCUCAUGGUCAAGCCGCAGCUUGGGGUUGUGGUGAGGGUAGUGGGUAAAGAAGCGCCGGCUAACUACGUG
rnacentral:rRNA from 1 species